rnacentral:rRNA from 1 species
GCGCAGCAGUCGAGAAUACUCCGCAAUACACGAAAGUGUGACGGGGCCAUCCCGAGUGCCGUCCGCUGAGGACGGCUUUUCCCCAGUGUACAUAGCUGGGGGAAUAAGGAGAGGGCAAGCCUGGUGUCAGCCGCCGCGGGUAAUACCAGCUCUCCGAGUGGUGGGGACGCUUAUUGGGCCUAAAGCAUCCGUAGCCGGCUGGGCAAGUCCUCCGUUAAAUCCAACGAUUCAAUCGUUGGGCUGCGGGGGAUACUGUCCAGCUUGGGGGCGGGAGAGGCCGACGGUAUUCCCGGGGUAGGGGUGAAAA